AAGUCGUAACAAGGUUUCCGUAGGUGAACCUGCGGAAGGAUCAUUACCGAGUUCAUGCCCUUACGGGUAGAUCUCCCACCCUUUGUAUACUAUACCUUUGUUGCUUUGGCGGGCCGCCUAGCUACUGGCUUCGGCUGGUAUGUGCCCGCCAGAGGACCCAAAACCCUGAAUUAUUAGUGUCGUCUGAGUAAAAUGUUUAAUAUUUAAAACUUUCAACAACGGAUCUCUUGGCUCUG
rnacentral:misc_RNA from 1 species